rnacentral:rRNA from 1 species
AAACUUACCAGGUCAAGACAUGGGCGUGAUUGACAGGCUAAUGACUUUUCUCGAUUCCAUGGAUGGUGGUGCAUGGUCGCACUUAGUUGGUGCAGUGAUUUGUCAGGUUUAUUCCGGUAACGAACGAGACCUCGGCCUUGUAAAUAGCUAUGCUGCUUACAGGGACAUUGGCGGCUACGCCAAGGAAGCUCGAGGCAAUUGCAGAUCUGGAAUGCCCUUAGAUGUCCUGGGUCGCACGCGUGCUACAAUGACGCCACGAACGAGCUUGCGUGAUGAAAGUUACGCAUAAUCAGCAGUCGGCGUCUUAAGGGAUAGUCUCUUGUAACUGUGGGACUCCAACUAGGAAUGUCUCGUAAGCACAAGUCAACAUCUUGUGUUGAUUACGUCCCUGCUCUUUGUACACACCGCCCGUCGCUCCUACCGAUCGAGUGUUUAGGUGAAUUUGAUGGACGUAAGGAAGUCAAAUAAACCUGAGCACUAGAGAAGAGAAGUCGUAGAUC